rnacentral:rRNA from 1 species
UACGUAGGGUGCAAGCGUUGUCCGGAAUUAUUGGGCGUAAAGAGCUCGUAGGCGGUUUGUCGCGUCUGCUGUGAAAACCCGAGGCUCAACCUCGGGCCUGCAGUGGGUACGGGCAGACUAGAGUGCGGUAGGGGAGACUGGAAUUCCUGGUGUAGCGGUGGAAUGCGCAGAUAUCAGGAGGAACACCGGUGGCGAAGGCGGGUCUCUGGGCAGUAACUGACGCUGAGGAGCGAAAGCGUGGGGAGCGAACAGG